UCUCCCUCCUCGUUCUGCAGAAAGGAAAGGAAAACGGGGAAGCGGAGAGAGGGGCCUCUGCGUUAUGAAGAAGCGGAGAGGACCUAUCUUCUCCAUAUCUUCGAGUGAGAGAGGAGACAAUGACGAAUCAGAUUGAAGAUGGGCGGCGGAAGAAGAUCAACAACAAGAACUUCAAUUCCUGAGAGAUGUGCGAGAGGAAGCGAAGCGUCAAAAUAUUUACUGAAAUGCAGAAUGUGCCAUUCGACCUGCGGCCCGCGUUUAACAUAAAAUCUAAACGAUUUUUUUACAGCGGCUGCCCGAACGCUGAAUCCAAACAGUAAGACAGCGUUUUCAAAACAUCACGAUUUUGGGAUGUGAAUCUCAGCUCUUCGCUUUUCUCUUUAGUCCAGUAAGACAUGUGGGAAGAUGCAUGCAUGGCUGCUCUUCUCUUGCGACAUGCACCAAACUUUUGCCUAUAAUUAAGGUACCAGUCCAGCAGAAAAGAUAAAAAUGGGGUCUUGCAAAUUGUCCAACCUUGGACCAUCAGCACUUUUGAUUUCCCAGAACGUUCGCCCCGCUCUGUUGGCCUUUAAAAGGGAAAGAGAGGAGCAGAAUACGAGAGAAAAGAGCUUGGAAGAUGAAAGGAGUUGGUAACAAGAUAAGGUGGUAGCAGUCGGUCUGUCUAUAUCACCACGUAGUAUGGCUCAUGUACCAGAUAAGGGACAAAUGCUGGAGCGGAGCGGAGUGAAAGCAUCCGUCCAAUUGAGGGAGUUUCGUUAAGUGGUUUGGGGGUGCGGGGGCAACGAUCUCGCUGUACGUUACAGGGUAAGUGUGUGUGUGUGUG